rnacentral:rRNA from 1 species
AGUGAACGCUGGCGGUAGGCCUAACACAUGCAAGUCGAACGGCAGCACAGUAAGAGCUUGCUCUUACGGGUGGCGAGUGGCGGACGGGUGAGGAAUACAUCGGAAUCUACUUUUUCGUGGGGGAUAACGUAGGGAAACUUACGCUAAUACCGCAUACGACCUACGGGUGAAAGCAGGGGAUCUUCGGACCUUGCGCGAUUGAAUGAGCCGAUGUCGGAUUAGCUAGUUGGCGGGGUAAAGGCCCACCAAGGCGACGAUCCGUAGCUGGUCUGAGAGGAUGAUCAGCCACACUGGAACUGAGACACGGUCCAGACUCCUACGGGAGGAAGCAGUGGGGAAUAUUGGACAAAGGGCGCAAGCAUGAUCCAGCCAUACCGCGUGGGUGAAGAAGGCCUUCGGGUUGUAAAGCCCUUUUGGUGGGAAAGAAAAGCAGCAGGUUAAUAACCCGCUGUUCUGACGGUACCCAAAGAAUAAGCACCGGCUAACUCCGUG